rnacentral:rRNA from 1 species
AAUCAACGCUGGCGGCGUGCCUAACACAUGCAAGUCGAGCGCGAAAGGGGAGCAAUCCCCAAGUAGAGCGGCGGACGGGUGAGUAACACGUGGGUAACCUACCCUCGGGUGGGAAUAACUCAGGGAAACUUGAGCUAAUUCCGCAUAACAUCCCGGGCUCAUAAGAGUCCGGAAUCAAAGCUGGGGACCCUUCGGGGCCUGGCGUCUGAGGAGGGGCCCGCGGCCGAUCAGCUAGUUGGCGAGGUAACGGCUCACCAAGGCGACGAUCGGUAGCCGGCCUGAGAGGGCGGACGGCCACACUGGAACUGAGACACGGUCCAGACUCCUACGGGAGGCAGCAGUGGGGAAUCUUUGGCAAUGGGGGCAACCCUGACCAAGCAACGCCGCGUGGAGGACGAAGGCCCUCGGGUCGUAAACU